GCCCAGUAGCUUAGUGGUAAAGCUCCUAUAAGCGGUGAGCGAAAGCGCCUAGCAAUAACUAUGAGGAGGUCGUAGGUUCGAAUCAUGCCCGGUGGCU
rnacentral:tRNA from 1 species